rnacentral:pre_miRNA from 1 species
UAGCUACUCCCUCCGUCCGGAAAUACUUGUCAUCAAAAUGAAUAAAAGGGGAUGUAUCUAGAUGUAUUUUAGUUCUAGAUACACCCAUUUUUGUCCAUUUUGAUGACAAGUUUUUUCGGACGGAGGGAGUAUAUA